AUUGAACGCUGGCGGAAUGCUUUACACAUGCAAGUCGAACGGCAGCACGGGUGCUUGCACCUGGUGGCGAGUGGCGAACGGGUGAGUAAUGCACCGGAACGUAUCCAAUAAUGGGGGAUAACGCACCGAAAGGUGUGCUAAUACCGCAUACGCCCUGAGGGGGAAAGCGGGGGAUCGUAAGACCUCGCGUUAAUGGAGCGGCCGAUGCCGGAUUAGCUAGUUGGUGAGGUAAAGGCUCACCAAGGCGACGAUCCGUAGCUGGUCUGAGAGGACGACCAGCCACACUGGAACUGAGACACGGUCCAGACUCCUACGGGAGGCAGCAGUGGGGAAUUUUGGACAAUGGGCGCAAGCCUGAUCCAGCCAUUCCGCGUGGGUGAUGAAGGCCUUCGGGUUGUAAAGCCCUGUCGGGAGGGAC
rnacentral:rRNA from 1 species